UCUUCAUUUCACACACUCUCUCGCCUCUCUGACCGGUGAGAGAGCAUGUGAAAUGAAGAGG
rnacentral:pre_miRNA from 1 species